rnacentral:rRNA from 1 species
CCUACGGGAGGCAGCAGUGGGGAAUAUUGGGCAAUGGGCGCAAGCCUGACCCAGCAACGCCGCGUGAAUGAAGAAGGCUUUCGGGUUGUAAACUUCUUUUCUCAGGGACGAAGAAAGUUACGGUACAUGAGGAAUAAGCCACGGCUAACUACGUGCCAGCAGCCGCGGGAAUACGUAGGUGGCAAGCGUUAUACGGAUGUACUGGGUGUAAAGGGCGUGUAGGCGGGACUGCAAGUCUGAUGUGAAAGGCAGGGGCGCAACCGUGGGCCUGCAUUGGAAAAGGUGCAGCUAGAGUGCAGGAGAGGUAAGCGGAAUUCCUAGUGUAGCGGUGAAAUGCGUAGAUAUUAGGAGGAACACCAGUGGCGAAGGCGGCUUACUGGACUGUAACUGACGUUGAGGCGCGAAAGCGUGGGGAGCAAACAGGAUUAGAUACCCCAGUAGUC